AAGACCUGAAAUCAGGCGAGGUUACCCGCUGAACUUAAGCAUAUUAUUAAGCGGAGGAGAAGAAAAUAACAAUGAUUCCCCCAGAACGGCGAGGAAGAGGGAUUAGCUUCA
rnacentral:rRNA from 1 species